rnacentral:rRNA from 1 species
UACGAAGGGGGCUAGCGUUGCUCGGAAUCACUGGGCGUAAAGCGCACGUAGGCGGACUCUUAAGUCGGUGGUGAAAUCCUGGAGCUCAACUCCAGAACUGCCUUCGAUACUGGGAAGCUUGAGUCCGGGAGAGGUGAGUGGAACUCCGAGUGUAGAGGUGAAAUUCGUAGAUAUUCGGAAGAACACCAGUGGCGAAGGCGGCUCACUGGCCCGGUACUGACGCUGAGGUGCGAAAGCGUGGGGAGCAAACAGG